UUUGGAGGAAUUUACUGUUUUUAGUUCUGCAUAUAUAUUACAUAUGAGGCCUUUUUCUGUUGUAUGGAUGGUAAAGAUAUUUUCUCAAUCUGUAGGUUUUCUGUUUAACUUGCUAGAUAUGUCCUUUGCAGUGCAGAAGUUCUGCAGUUUGAUAGAAUCCCAUUUGUCCA